rnacentral:rRNA from 1 species
CGCCUUGCCAGCCCGCUCAGAAACUUAAAGGAAUUGACGGGGGCCCGCACAAGCGGUGGAGUAUGUGGUUAAUUCGAUGCAACGCGAAGAACCUUACCUGGUCUUGACAUCCCGGAGACCCUUAGGAAACUAGGGGGUGCUUCCAUCUGGAAGAAUCUGGAGACAGGUGCUGCAUGGCUGUCGUCAGCUCGUGUCGUGAGAUGUUGGGUUAAGUCCCGCAACAAGCGCAACCCUUGCCUUUAGUUGCCAGCAGUUCGGCUGGGCACUCUAAAGGGACUGCCGGUGUUAAACCGGAGGAAGGUGGGGAUGACGUCAAGUCCUCAUGGCCUUUAUGACCAGGGCUACACACGUACUACAAUGGCCGAUACAAAGGGCAGCGACACUGCGAGGUGAAGCCAAUCCCGUAAAAUCGGUCUCAGUCCGGAUUGGAGUCUGCAACUCGACUCCAUGAAGUUGGAAUCGCUAGUAAUCGUGGAUCAGCAUGCCACGGUGAAUACGUUCCGGCUU